rnacentral:rRNA from 1 species
GUGCCAGCCGCCGCGGUAAUACGGAAGAUGCGAGCGUUAUCCGGAUUUAUUGGGUUUAAAGGGAGCGUAGGCGGGCUUUUAAGCCAGCGGUCAAAUGUCAGGGCCCAACCUUGGCAUGCCGUUGGAACUGGGAGCCUUGAAUACACACAAGGAAGGUGGAAUUCGUCGUGUAGCGGUGAAAUGCUUAGAUAUGACGAAGAACUCCGAUUGCGAAGGCAGCCUUCUGGGGUGCGAUUGACGCUGAGGCUCGAAAGUGCGGGUAUCGAACAGGAUUAGAUACCCUGGUAGUCCGCACAGUAAACGAUGAAUGCUCGUCAUCGGCGACAGACAGUCGGUGACCAAGGGAAACCAUUAAGCAUUCCACCUGGGGAGUACGCCGGCAACGGUGAAACUCAAAGGAAUUGACGGGGGCCCGCACAAGCGGAGGAACAUGUGGUUUAAUUCGAUGAUACGCGAGGAACCUUACCCGGGCUUGAAUUGCAGGAGAACGAUACAGAGAUGUUGAGGCCCUUCGGGGCUCCUGUGAAGGUGCUGCAUGGUUGUCGUCAGCUCGUGCCGUGAGGUGUCGGCUUAGGUGCCAUAACGAGCGCAACCCUUGCUGUCAGUUGCCAUCAGGUAGAGCUGGGCACUCUGGCGGGACUGCCAUCGCAAGAUGUGAGGAAGGUGGGGAUGACGUCAAAUCAGCACGGCCCUUACGUCCGGGGCUACACACGUGUUACAAUGGGGGGUACAGAAUGUUGCUUACGGGCGACCGUUGGCGGAUCAUUAAAUCCCCUCUCAGUUCGGACUGGAGUCUGCAACCCGACUCCACGAAGCUGGAUUCGCUAGUAAUCGCGCAUCAGCCAUGGCGCGGUGAAUACGUUCCCGGGCCUUGUACACACCGCCCGU